AAAAAAUAGUGAAACAUAGAUUGAUUCCCAAUGGCCUCACUAUCAAGAUUUUCUUCACUAAUUUCCUGCCCUGCUAGCAAUACAGAUGAAACUCAUUCAUGGAACUCAAAAGAGAACACAUACAACUUCUUGCACGGACGUGGAGCCUUCGGAAAACCAAACGAAGCUUCUGAGAGAAAGGGUUUGUUCUCUGAUAGAAUACUAGAUCUUCUAAAGGUCGAUCAAAUUGAACCUGGUCGUAUCAUUUGCAGUCUCACUGUCAACCCUCAUGUCACUAAUCCUUAUGGUACACUUCAUGGAGGUGCUGUUGCUGCUGUUGCAAAAUUGGUCGCAAUGGCUUGUGCUAGAACUGUUGUGGAUGAAGAUAAGGAAUUAUAUCUUGGGGAGUUGAAUAUGUCGUACCACUCGGCUUCUGCUGUAAAUGUGGAACUGGAAGUUGAUGGAUGCAUACUAAAGCGUGGCAGGAAUGUAACUACAGCGGCAGUUGAGUUUAGAGUGAAGGGAACAAAGAAAGUCGCUUAUACUGCUCGGGCUACCUUCUUUACCACUUCGGUUUCGAAAUUGUGAGAAGAUAUUGUAAUGUACAAAAAUGAAGAAAUCAUUCAGAGCAAGUCUAAUGGUGGAAUACAGAAAACGCAAAUAAAAAUAGCGUAAAACGCUAUUCAUAAUACCGCCAGGGAAACGCUAUUAAUAAUAGCGCUAGACUUUAGUCAACGGUCAAAACGCCAAUCUUAAUAGCACCAAACGCUAAUCUUAUUAGUGCCAAACGCUAUUGUUAAUAGCGCUAAGCGCUAAUCUUAUUAGCGCUUUUUCGUUCAUAUAUCCAGUAACACCGUCGACCCUUCUUCUUCUUCCCCUCACAGUUCAUCUUCUCUGAAAAAAAGAAGAAAAACAACCUAAAACCCACUUUCUUGAUUCUCAUAGCCCAACUCAAAUAAAUCAAAUUGCUUCAAAGGGUUUGUUCUAUGCUGUAUAAGGAAUCGAAUCAAACUUAAAUUUCUCAAUUUGAUUGAGAAUCCAAAGAGAGAUUGUGGAUAUGGAUGUGUUUAUGACCUUGAGUUCAAAAGAACCGGAUGCGAAACAUAUUUCUACAAGUAUAGACCCACUUGAUACACAACAUGAUAUCACGUUUAGAAGUAAUCUAGAAGACCUUGAGGAUUUAUAUGACCGUGUGGUGGUUCAUGAAAGUGCUAGUCAAGUUCUUCAAAAUUCCGGCCUUGCUAGAUAUUUUGAAAUUAGAAUUAAGAGAGCUGAUCAACAACUAGCUUAUGCAAUCAUAGAGAGGUGGUGGUAUAGUACCAAUUCGUUUCAUUUCCCAAACUUUGAAAUUGGUUUCACCCCUUUGGAUUUUGUUCACUUAAAUGGAGUUCCUAUUGGAAAUGGUCGUAGAAGAUUGGAACACGCCGCUACAAGUAAAUGGAAAAGUAGAGAAAACCAACAACUAGAGGAUACCUACUUUGGACCUUUGCAUGGGUAUGCAAAGUACAACAAGAACUCACAUGAAUUUCCUAUUAGUUGCCUCGCAAACUAUAUCAAGGACAAUCCAAUUAAUGAUGAAAAUUGGGAGAUUGUGACUCGAUACUUCUUAUUAUGGGUGAUUUCAAAAGUUUUAUUGGCACGUACCACUACAAGAGCAAGCAAAGGUUGGAUCGCUUCCUUGCGUGAUUUGAAUGCGAUUGAU